rnacentral:misc_RNA from 1 species
GAAAUGCGAUAAGUAAUGGGAAUUGCAGAAUUCAGUGAAUCAUCGAAUCUUUGAACGCACCUUGCGCUCCUUGGUAUUCCUUGGAGCAUGCCUGUUUGAGUAUCAUGAAAUCUUCAAAGUAAAUCUUUUGUUAACUCAAUUGGUUUCUACUUUGGUAUUGGAGGUCUUUGCAGCUUCACACCUGCUCCUCUUUGUUCAUUAGCUGGAUCUCAGUGUUAUGCUUGGUUCCACUCGGCGUGAUAAGUUAUCUAUCGCUGAGGACACUGUAAAAGGUGGCCAAGGUAAAUGCAGAUGAACCGCUUCUAAUAGUCCAUUGACUUGGACAAUACUUUUAUGAUCUGAUCUCAAAUCAGGUAGGACUACCCGCUGAACUUAAGA